UCAAAUGGAGAGUUUGAUCCUGGCUCAGGAUGAACGCUGGCGGCGUGCCUAAUACAUGCAAGUCGAACGAAGAGAG
rnacentral:rRNA from 1 species